UACGUAGGGUGCAAGCGUUAUCCGGAAUUAUUGGGCGUAAAGAGCUCGUAGGCGGUUUGUCGCGUCUGCUGUGAAAACUGGGGGCUCAACCCCCAGCCUGCAGUGGGUACGGGCAGACUAGAGUGCGGUAGGGGAGAUUGGAAUUCCUGGUGUAGCGGUGAAAUGCGCAGAUAUCGGGAGGAACACCGGUGGCGAAGGCGGUUCUCUGGGCCUUACCUGACGCUGAGGAGCGAAAGCGUGGGGAGCGAACAGG
rnacentral:rRNA from 1 species